rnacentral:rRNA from 1 species
CACGUAGGGUGCGAGCGUUGUCCGGAAUUAUUGGGCGUAAAGAGCUCGUAGGCGGUGUGUCGCGUCGGCCGUGAAAACCUGCAGCUUAACUGUGGGCUUGCGGUCGAUACGGGCAUCACUGGAGUUCGGCAGGGGGAGACUGGAAUUCCUGGUGUAGCGGUGAAAUGCGCAGAUAUCAGGGAGGGAACACCGGCGGCGAAGGC